rnacentral:rRNA from 1 species
AGAGUUUGAUCAUGGCUCAGAACGAACGCUGGCGGCAGGCUUCAUACAUGCAAGUCGAACGGUAAGGUCUCAGCAAUGGGACCCUAGAGUGGCGAACGGGUGAGUAACAGGUGGAUGAUCUACCUUUUGGUAGGGGAUAACGGCUGGAAACGGCCGCUAAUACCGUAUACGAUCGUGGGGUUGAAAUCCCUGCGAGGAAAGGCGCUGCAAGGCGUCGCCGAAAGAUGAGUCCGCCCCCCAUUAGCUAGUUGGCGGGAUAAURGCCCACCAAGGCAACGAUGGGUAGCCGAACUGAGAGGUUGAUCGGCCACACUGGAACUGAGACACGGUCCAGACACCUACGGGUGGCAGCAGUAGGGAAUAUUGGUCAAUGGGCGCAAGCCUGAACCAGCCAUGCCGCGUGAGUGACGAAGGCCUUCGGGUCGUAAAACUCUUUUCUGAGGGAAGAACAACCGGGACAGGAAAUGGUCUCGGCCUGACGGUACCUCAGGAAUAAGCAACGGCUAACUCCGUGCCAGCAGCCGCGGUAAUACGGAGGUUGCGAGCGUUGUUCGGAAUAACUGGGCGUAAAGGGAGCGCAGGCGGUCUGGUAAGUCUAAAGUGAAAGCCCGGGGCUUAACCUCGGAAGUGCUUUGGAUACUGUCAGACUCGAGUUCGUAAGAGGAAAGCGGAAUUCCAGGUGUAGCGGUGAAAUGCGUAGAUAUCUGGAGGAACACCGGUGGCGAAAGCGGCUUUCUGGUACGAUACUGACGCUGAGGCUCGAAAGCAUGGGGAGCGAACAGGAUUAGAUACCCUGGUAGUCC